UGGUAGUNCACGCCGUAAACGAUGAGUGCUAGGUGUUAGACCCUUUCCGGGGUUUAGUGCCGCAGCUAACGCAUUAAGCACUCCGCCUGGGGAGUACGACCGCAAGGUUGAAACUCAAAGGAAUUGACGGGGGCCCGCACAAGCGGUGGAGCAUGUGGUUUAAUUCGAAGCAACGCGAAGAACCUUACCAGGUCUUGACAUCCCUCUGACCGCUCUAGAGAUAGAGUUUUCCUUCGGGACAGAGGUGACAGGUGGUGCAUGGUUGUCGUCAGCUCGUGUCGUGAGAUGUUGGGUUANNNNNNGCAACGAGCGCAACCCCUAUUGUUAGUUGCCAUCAUUUAGUUGGGCACUCUAGCGAGACUGCCGGUAAUAAACCGGAGGAAGGUGGGGAUGACGUCAAAUCAUCAUGCCCCUUAUGACCUGGGCUACACACGUGCUACAAUGGCUGGUACAACGAGUCGCAAGCCGGUGACGGCAAGCUAAUCUCUUAAAGCCAGUCUCAGUUCGGAUUGUAGGCUGCAANU
rnacentral:rRNA from 1 species